GACGUAGGGCGCGAGCGUUGUCCGGAUUUAUUGGGCGUAAAGAGCUCGUAGGCGGCUUGUCGCGUCGAAUGUGAAAACUCGGGGCUCAACUCCGAGCUUGCAUUCGAUACGGGCAGGCUAGAGUUCGGUAGGGGAGACUGGAAUUCCUGGUGUAGCGGUGAAAUGCGUAGAUAUCAGGAGGAACACCAGAGGCGAAGGCGGCGAACUGGACAGUAACUGACACUCAACUGCGAAAGCGUGGGGAGCAAACAGG
rnacentral:rRNA from 1 species